GGAGAGAUGGUCGAGUUGGUUGAAGGCACCAGUCUUGAAAACUGGCGAAGGUUUGCGCUUUCCGUGGGUUCGAAUCCCACUCUCUCCGCCA
rnacentral:tRNA from 2 species